AGGCCAUGUCAGAUUCUUCUACCUCAACACUUGUGAUCUCAUGGAUACUACAUGUUGAUGGAUCGUCCAAUGCUGGAGACACCAGGGUUGGGUUGAUUUUUGCCAAUCUCGACGGUAUUGUAGCAUAGUAAGCCUUUUGUUUUAGCUUCAAGAGUUCAAAUAAUGAAGUAGAGUACAAAGCACUCUUGGUCAGGCUAAGGCUUGCUCGAAAGCUUGGAGUUCCGCACCUUUAGGUCCUUUGUAACUCUCAACUAGUGGUUGGCCAGAUUUGAAGAGAGUAUGAGGCGAAGACACCCUCCAGGGG
rnacentral:lncRNA from 1 species